CAGACCCCAAACCUUUGCCGAUCGAGAGAGCACACUUUUACAUGUAAAGUAAAUUUAUUUAGUUGCAGAGUAAUUCCAGCAGUUGUCAUCUCUCACAUCUGUGCCGAAUUCUUGUGUACUCCGAGCUCAUUACACAAGCUCAUGAACUCAAGUAAUCAGUCAGUACCUACCCAUCAGUUUAGGAGAAACAAGUUGAAAGUUCAUCUUGAGGUGUAAGAGGGAGAUGAGUUCACCUGAGAGAGAAUUUCUGUGUAAAGUGCUUGUCGUGGGCGAUCUUGGUGUUGGCAAGACUUCGAUCAUACAGCGGUAUGUCCACAACAUCUUCUCCCAGUGCUACCGAGCAACCAUUGGAGUAGAUUUUGCCCUGAAAAUUGUGAACUGGAACGAGG